rnacentral:rRNA from 1 species
GCAAGUCGAGCGGUAACAGGAAUUAGCUUGCUAAUUCGCUGACGAGCGGCGGACGGGUGAGUAAUGCCUGGGAAUAUGCCUUAGUGUGGGGGAUAACUAUUGGAAACGAUAGCUAAUACCGCAUAAUGUCUUCGGACCAAAGAGGGGGAUCUUCGGACCUAUCGCGCUAAGAUUAGCCCAGGUGAGAUUAGCUUGUUGUGAGGUAAGAGCUCACCAAGGCGACGAUCUCUAGCUGGUCUGAGAGGAUGAUC